GGGAAAUGUUUGGGGAAACUU
rnacentral:miRNA from 1 species